rnacentral:rRNA from 1 species
GAUGAACGCUAGCGGCAGGCUUAACACAUGCAAGUCGUGGGGCAGCGCGGACUUCGGUCUGGCGGCGACCGGCAAACGGGUGCGGAACACGUACGCAACCUCCCUCAGAGCGGGGAAUAGCCUCUCGAAAGAGAGAUUAAUACCCCAUAGUAUCUUGAAGACACAUGUCUAUGAGAUUAAAGCUUCGGCACUUUGAGAUGGGCGUGCGGCUGAUUAGGUAGUUGGUAGGGUAACGGCCUACCAAGCCGACGAUCAGUAGCUGAUGUGAGAGCAUGAUCAGCCACACGGGCACUGAGACACGGGCCCGACUCCUACGGGAGGCAGCAGUGAGGAAUAUUGGUCAAUGGAGGAAACUCUGAACCAGCCAUGCCGCGUGGAGGAUGAAGGUCCUCUGGAUUGUAAACUCCUUUUAUAAAAGAAGAAACCCCAUUUUUCUAAAUGGGUUGACGGUACUUUAUGAAUAAGCACCGGCUAACUCCGUGCCAGC